rnacentral:rRNA from 1 species
GAAGCGUGGACGCCAGUCUGCGUGGAGCCAACCUUGAAAUACCACCCUUUAAUGUUUGAUGUUCUAACGUUGCCCCAUUAUCUGGGGUGCGGACAGUGUCUGGUGGGUAGUUUGACUGGGGCGGUCUCCUCCCAAAGAGUAACGGAGGAGCACGAAGGUUGGCUAAGCAUGGUCGGACAUCAUGCGGUUAGUGCAAAGGCAUAAGCCAGCUUGACUGCGAGAGUGACGGCUCGAGCAGGUACGAAAGUAGGUCUUAGUGAUCCGGUGGUUCUGAAUGGAAGGGCCAUCGCUCAACGGAUAAAAGGUACUCCGGGGAUAACAGGCUGAUACCGCCCAAGAGUUCAUAUCGACGGCGGUGUUUGGCACCUCGAUGUCGGCUCAUCACAUCCUGGGGCUGAAGUAGGUCCCAAGGGUACGGCUGUUCGCCGUUUAAAGUGGUACGCGAGCUGGGUUUAGAACGUCGUGAGACAGUUCGGUCCCUAUCUGCCGUGGGCGUUGGAAGAUUGAAAGGGGCUGCUCCUAGUACGAGAGGACCGGAGUGGACGCACCACUGGUGUUCGGGUUGUCAUGCCAAUGGCAUUGCCCGGUAGCUAAGUGCGGAAGAGAUAACCGCUGAAAGCAUCUAAGCGGGAAACUUGCCUUGAGAUGAGUCUUCCCUGACUCUUUAAG